rnacentral:rRNA from 1 species
UACAGAGGUCUCAAGCGUUGUUCGGAUUCAUUGGGCGUAAAGGGUGCGUAGGCGGCGCGGUAAGUCGGGUGUGAAAUUUCGAGGCUUAACUUCGAAACUGCAUUCGAUACUGCCGUGCUUGAGGACUGGAGAGGAGACUGGAAUUUACGGUGUAGCGGUGAAAUGCGUAGAUAUCGUAAGGAAGACCAGUGGCGAAGGCGGGUCUCUGGACAGUUCCUGACGCUGAGGCACGAAAGCUAGGGGAGCAAACGGG